AGAGUUUGAUCCUGGCUCAGAUUGAACGCUGGCGGCAUGCCUAACACAUGCAAGUCGAACGGAAACGAUGGGAGCUUGCUCCCAGGCGUCGAGUGGCGGACGGGUGAGUAAUACUUAGGAAUCUGCCCAGUAGUGGGGGACAACUCGAGGAAACUCGAGCUAAUACCGCAUACGCCCCAAGGGGGAAAGCGGAGGAUCUUUCGGGACUUCGCGCUAUUGGAUGAGCCUAAGUCGGAUUAGCUUGUUGGUGAGGUAAAAGCUCACCAAGGCGACGAUCCGUAGCUGGUCUGAGAGGACGAUCAGCCACACUGGGACUGAGACACGGCCCAGACUCCUACGGGAGGCAGCAGUGGGGAAUAUUGGACAAUGGGGGAAACCCUGAUCCAGCAAUGCCGCGUGUGUGAAGAAGGCCUGCGGGUUGUAAAGCACUUUCAGUAGAGAAGAAAAGCCUAGGGUUAAUACCCCUGGGUCUUGACGUUACCUACAGAAGAAGCUCCGGCUAACUCCGUGCCAGCAGCCGCGGUAAUACGGAGGGAGCGAGCGUUAAUCGGAAUUACUGGGCGUAAAGCGCGCGUAGGCGGCUUUGUAAGUCGGAUGUGAAAGCCCUGGGCUCAACCUGGGAAUGGCAUUCGAUACUGCAUAACUAGAGUAUGGUAGAGGGAAGUGGAAUUUCCGGUGUAGCGGUGAAAUGCGUAGAUA
rnacentral:rRNA from 1 species